UACGAAGGUCCCGAGCGUUGUCCGGAUUUAUUGGGCUUAAAGGGCUCGUAGGCGGGCUGUCACGUCUGUUGUGAAAGCCUACAGCUUAACUGUAGAAUUGCCAUUGAUACUGAUGAUCUUGAGUAUGAUUGAGGUGGGCGGAAUGUGUCAUGUAGCGGUGAAAUGCUUAGAUAUGACACAGAACACCGAUUGCGAAGGCAGCUCACUAAGUCAUAACUGACGCUGAUGCACGAAAGCGUGGGGAUCAAACAGG
rnacentral:rRNA from 1 species